AAGACUAUACUUUCAGGGAUCAUUUCUAUAGUUCGUUACUAGAGAAGUUUCUCUGAUCGUGUAGAGCACCCGAAACCACGAGGAAGAGACGCAGUGUUUUCUCCUGAGCGUGAAGUUGGCGUUUGGUGCUGCUUGUGCAGCU
rnacentral:snoRNA from 1 species